rnacentral:rRNA from 1 species
UACGGAGGGGACUAGCGUUGUUCGGAAUUACUGGGCGUAAAGCGCACGUAGGCGGAUUUGUAAGUCAGGGGUGAAAUCCCGGGGCUCAACCUCGGAACUGCCUUUGAUACUGCAAAUCUCGAGUCCGGAAGAGGUGAGUGGAAUUCCUAGUGUAGAGGUGGAAUGCGCAGAUAUCAGGAGGAACACCGAUGGCGAAGGCAGCUCGCUGGGACGGUACUGACGCUGAGACGCGAAAGCGUGGGGAGCAAACAGG